UCACUUUACUAACUUCGGAGAAAUUCUAUUUUCUCUAAAAUAAAUAUUUGGGCACUUAUUUAAUAAAAUAUGGAUUCUUGGAAAAUCUCUUUCUUAAAUCUUUUCUUAAGAUUUUUCUUAAGGCUGCCCAUGGCGUCGCGGGGCGACGCCGGUCGGCCAAUUCGCGUCUCCAACUUCAACAUUUUCCAUCUUUGAAAACUUAGUAAAUUAUUCGGGAAUUAAUUAAUUAAGCUUCAAGCUCAACUUCUAAAAUUAAUUCCCUUCCAACAUGAUUUAUUUCCAAGCCCAACAAUUAGAUCUCGGUCCAACAUAACAAUAAUUAAAACCGGUCCAUUUACUAACAUUUAAAUUUCGCAUUCUCACUUCUCAACAAAUUAAAUGGCCCUCUGCCAAUUAAUUAGUAGUCCACUUUGGAAAACAAAAUAGCCCAUUUAGUUAAUUUAAAGGCCUAAACACUUCGGCCCAGACUAAAAUGAAUGAGAGUCCAAUUAAUGACCCCUUUCCCAUUUAUCUCGGAUGAUUCUCUUUCUCCCCUUUUUUUUUCUUUUUUUCUUCCAUUCCAAAAUUUCCAAAAUUGAAGUCACAGAGGCUGCGACGCCUCACCUCCCUCCUUUCCCUUCCUUCUCCGGCGAGUUCGCCGCCGCCCCCAGCGUCGGAUCCCUCUCCCUCUCUUCCUUUGUUCCUCGAUUUAAACCUCUCUUUCCAAAAUUCGGAUCCCUAAAUUUGCAAUCGGAGAACAGCAACGCCGUUCCUCCUCGUCGAAAUCGGUUGUCUCCAGGCGGCAGCUCUCCUUAGCGGAGCCCUCACGCAGCCUCCGGGGUCCCGUCGUUGCACUCACGCCACCAGCUUUGGCGAGCAGGGCCGCUGCCUCGCCGCCUCCGUCGCGUCGGUUAGGGGCUGUCCCUUUUGGAGUUUCAUGGGGCCGAAUUUCGAGAAGGAAAGAGAUGGAGGAAGGGAAGAGAAUCUACCCUUGUACCACUUUGAUUCCUAUACCAAUUUAUGAUACUCUCUAGAAUUCUAUUACUAGAGGUGGGAGAAGGGAUGAUGUAAUGUGGAUGUGUAGUCUCUUUCACUUAUGUAUCAUGCACUAUUAAUGUCUUCACAAUUUUAAGAAAUUGUAUCUCAAAUUGUUCCUCCAACAAAA